CAUCCAUCCACCAACCCACCCACGCGUUGUGUCCCACCCACCCAGCCAUGCGUGGAGAGAGAGAGCGAGCGAGAGUCUCCUCCUCCCCUUCCAGAUCGCCGCCGCCACCUCUCCCUCGCGCCGCCACCAGCACCACUCCUUCCGAGCGCGUGCCGCCCAUCGUCCCUCCUAUCCUCCUAUCUCGCCGCCCAUUCAUCCGAGCCCGACGACGCCAGAUCCGCGCGCAGCCCAUCGUUCUGCACCUCCCGCAGGAGAUCCAGGGCACUGCCGAAUCUCACUGUCGACAGAUGCACCGCCGCCCUGCAGCCUCGGCGUCGCGGUCGGCUGGCUCGCCACCGCGCGCGUGCUUCAUUGCGCGCCGCUCCGUCGAGCUGGAUCCUCGGAAGGCCGUCGUCCACCUCGCGCUGUAGGGAGGGAUCCAUCGUCUCCUCGGAGGAGGGGACGGCCAUGUUUGUUGUACUCCACCCUAGCAGUCGAUCCCGGUCGUUUGCUGCUUCACCAGCCUCCUCCUCUAGCAUCUCCGCAAGGGCACCCGACGACAGGCAGGUCGUCGACGCGCUGGACCUCAAGGCCGGUUGUGCUGCUCCUUCUGCCUGCGUCUUUCCUCGACAACGUCCCCGACCUGCAUCCAGCUGCUCCUUCCCCAGCCCUCCUCAACUUCGCUCCGGGUGAGCUUCUCUAGUUCAUCCAGAAGAAAAAGGAGAACGGGCAACAUGGAGAAAGAUGCGGUGCUGGUGUGCAUGGUCCUGGGCUUUCUGGGCUCCGUCGCGGUCACCCUCGUCUUCGUCGCCAACAACUACAGCUCCGAGGCAUGGAUCCAAGAUCGAACAUCACAAUUCUCUUUUCAUCAAUUCGAUAGAUCUGUGCUAACUAAGUAUAUGUUAGUCUGUGCGGUACAACGGGACGAACUGCAUGUACCGGAGCCCGCCGGCGACGGAUCUCGGCAUCCUGGGGGUGUUCCUGGUGUUCAUCAACCAGGUCAUCCUCGCCGCCUAUGCCAGCGGCUGGUGCCUCUGCAUGUGUUGCUGCUGCCCCUGCUGGACCAAGCGCCGCCGGCUGGCGCCAACACCGUCCAAGUGGAACCCAGUAUAGAGUUUGGACGCUGAUUUAACUAGUUAAAACCUGUCCAUUAUUAACUAACCCAUGUUUCUUGAUGGUGUUUAUCUCCAUGGGAUAUAAAAUGUGUCAAUGUUAAUAUUGCACUAGUCCUUGUUGCUCUGUUGGCGUUAGUUACCUUCUUGUCACAUUCUCCCUCCAUCCGACAAUAUAAGACGUUUGUGCAAGCUAACAUUACUUGCAAAAAUGACUUACAUUAUGGGACGGAGGGAGUAAUAGAAGGUGAAUUCUUAUACACUUUUAAGUCCUAUUAAUAAGUAUUCAGGGGGGCAUAUUCGUUUCAUGAAUCAUCUAUAAAUAUCAUUCACGUGGUACUGGGUCAGUUUCUAGCUACCAUUUCUAUACACAUUAUCUGUGUGUUGGCGCUAGUAGUUUCAUGACUUGCUAUUCUUAUUCAAGUGGGUGAACUAAGUCAUUUUUAUUUAGUUUGUGUUCUGCUAUGCCAAAGCCAGAAAUAUGACCAACACUAUACACUUUUCACCACUCCACUCCCUCCCAUGCAAAAUCAUCUUCUCAGCUCUCACCCGUCGACGGGGAAUUUUCCAAUCGACAGUUCAUUUCGUUACUAGUACGUAUUACACACACAUGCUCCACAGCAAAUCCAACUGCAUUCUCUUGUCAAUUUAGGACUGGUAAGUAGGUGCCGCUGAGUCUGAGUGAGUGGUAAACAGUAUAGAGCUCGGAUGCUAAUCAAGUUGAUUUAACUAGUAGAUGUCUAGAUUAAACCUGUCCAUUAUUAACCCCUGCUCCUUGAUGAUGUCGAGGUCCACAUCCACAAUAUGUAAACGUGUCAAUGUUAAUAUUUCACUGAUCCUUACUAUUUUGUUGGCCUUAGUUAACUUUUUGUCAUAUAAUAAAAAUGUGAUCUCGUUAUACAAUUUUGGGUUGUGUCAAUUAAUAGUUUGGAAAGCUUACAAGCCCUCUUAUAGUUAACUAAAAGGUUGUUGAACAUUUUUAACAACUAACUGUUGGACAUUCCCAUGCUGUACGUCACUGAUUAUGUACAACUUGGUACAAAAUUGGUCUGAUAUUAGUUUUAUAUCACAAAAGUAGGGAGGUUCCUGCUGCAUAUUAGUAUCGGCUUUGGAUUAUUACAGUGUUUGGUUCACCACUGUACUGAUUAUCUUGGUGAGCAUCUGUUUAAUAACUGGAAUACAUUGUCUGCUUGGAACUCUAUUUACCUUUGCAUACUAUUACAAAUGUCUGUGAGGGUCCUUUGUGCUACUAGUAUAAUUUCAUUCAUGAAUUCUGCACAUAGAUUUUUCAUCCUGCUAUAAAAUUGCUUGUGCAUGAAUAUGUUUGCCGUUGUUAGUCAGAAGUCGAUUAUUACUGGUGUGUUCAGGAUUCUAUUUCUGUCAUCUAAAAUAUGUGUUAAUUCUGAUACAGCAUAAAGAGCUAUGUGAGCCCUCCUGGAUGGGGCUUAUGUUGGACCUCUGAUUGAGCUCCCCAUAGACUUUGACCCAAGCAUCCUCGUGACAGGGUUUGUCGGAACUGCCAUCGCUUUAGGGUGCUUCUCCGGCGCCGCCAUCAUCACCAAGCGCAGCUCAAGAACGCAGGUGACAAGAAGAGGAAGAGGAGGUCCUGAACGUUUCUCCUGCACAUCGUAGAUACCCACCACCGCGGCCUUGUAGGAAUUAAGCUGGCGAUGUGCCACCCUUGUGUAUCUGUUUUUGAUUGUAUGUGGAAGUUGGACGUGCAUACGUGUAUUUGCUCUUGUGAGUAUUUGACUGGAUGUUCUCUAGAUUUAAUCAUUUAAUUGACAGAUUUAUUGAUAUUUUGUUGUUCAAAUGUGUAAAUUGAAGUCUGUGAAUGAAAAACACCAAAUGUUCUACUUGACAAAAUAA